CGGCGGGCUGGCCGGGAUGCGGCGGACAUGGAGCGCGCAGCUCAGCUCCGAGGAGGCCGAGCAGCAGUGGCUGCCGUUGUUCCGGCACCCGCCGG
rnacentral:tRNA from 1 species